UCUAUCUGGAAAAUCCAGAAACUUCGAAACCGUGAAGCUUUGCUUAUUUGUUAUUGAUUUGUGUUUGAGGUACAAUCUACGCAAGUGCUAUGCAUGCUAAGAAAAAAAUCAUUCUGGAGACUUUGAGAAAGUUUACCAUGAUUAUCUGCAGAAGAAGAGCUUCAUUGAGCUGCAAGGUGAGAGAGACAGAAAGCGUCUGGUGUCAUGCUGCCUCAUGUUACUCUGAAGAAUUUGUCUUCCCGUGAUGCCUCACGCUACUGUGAAGAUUGUGUCUCCCCUUUAUACCUCAUGCUACUGUGGAGAAAGUGGCUGCUCACUAGUACUGAUGACGGCAAGACCAAAAUAGUCUGUCUGGUUUAAACGUGGACACUAAAGAGCCGUUGCGAAUGACUUGUAAGUCCGUGCUC